UACGGGGGGGGCAAGCGUUGUUCGGAAUUACUGGGCGUAAAGGGCGCGUAGGCGGCCUGUUAAGUCGAACGUGAAAUCCCUGGGCUCAACCCAGGAACUGCGUCCGAUACUGGCAGGCUUGAAUCCGGGAGAGGGAUGUGGAAUUCCGCGUGUAGCAGUGAAAUGCGUAGAUAUGCGGAGGAACACCGAUGGCGAAGGCAAUCCCCUGGGCCUGUACUGACGCUCAUGCACGAAAGCGUGGGGAGCAAACAGG
rnacentral:rRNA from 1 species